UCCAACCUUCAGGGCAAAGUGAGACAGUAAUGUCAAUUCUUGACCGGCGGUGAUGUAUCUGUAUGCAGCAUGAUAAUAAGUCCGCGAGCCAAAAAGGCCGAUUAAGUGAGAAUCUUAAACCGACAGUAUAGUCUGGAUGAAAGAAGAAGGAG
rnacentral:ncRNA from 2 species